rnacentral:snRNA from 1 species
CUGUCUCAGAAAUAAAUAAACAAAAAAAAAAAAAUUGGAACAAUACAGAGAUUAGCAUGGCCCCUAUGCAAGGAUGACACAAAUUCGCGAAGUAGUCCAUUA